rnacentral:rRNA from 1 species
CUACGUGCCAGCAGCCGCGGUAAUACGUAGGGAGCGAGCGUUAUCCGGAUUUAUUGGGUGUAAAGGGUGCGUAGACGGAAAUGCAAGUUAGUUGUGAAAUACCUCGGCUUAACUGAGGAACUGCAACUAAAACUAUAUUUCUUGAGUAUCGGAGGGGUUUGUGGAAUUCCUAGUGUAGCGGUGAAAUGCGUAGAUAUUAGGAAGAACACCGGUGGCGAAGGCGACAAACUGGACGAUAACUGACGUUGAGGCACGAAAGUGUGGGGAGCAAACAGGAUUAGAUACCCUGGUAGUCCACACCGUAAACGAUGGAUACUAGGUGUUGGCAAUGAAUAAUUGUCGGUGCCGGCGCUAACGCAAUAAGUAUCCCACCUGGGGAGUACGACCGCAAGGUUGAAACUCAAAGGAAUUGACGGGGGCCCGCACAAGCAGUGGAGUAUGUGGUUUAAUUCGAUGCAACGCGAAGAACCUUACCUACUCUUGACAUCCAGAGAACAUUC